rnacentral:rRNA from 12 species
CCAGACUCCUACGGGAGGCAGCAGUGGGGAAUCUUAGACAAUGGGCGCAAGCCUGAUCUAGCCAUGCCGCGUGUGUGAUGAAGGCCUUAGGGUCGUAAAGCACUUUCGCCAGGGAUGAUAAUGACAGUACCUGGUAAAGAAACCCCGGCUAACUCCGUGCCAGCAGCCGCGGUAAUACGGAGGGGGUUAGCGUUGUUCGGAAUUACUGGGCGUAAAGCGUACGUAGGCGGAUCAGAAAGUAGGGGGUGAAAUCCCGAGGCUCAACCUCGGAACUGCCUCCUAAACUCCUGGUCUUGAGUUCGAGAGAGGUGAGUGGAAUUCCGAGUGUAGAGGUGAAAUUCGUAGAUAUUUGGAGGAACACCAGUGGCGAAGGCGGCUCACUGG